GAUGAACGCUGGCGGCGUGCCUAAUACAUGCAAGUCGAGCGAACGGACGAGAAGCUUGCUUCUCUGAUGUUAGCGGCGGACGGGUGAGUAACACGUGGAUAACCUACCUAUAAGACUGGGAUAACUUCGGGAAACCGGAGCUAAUACCGGAUAAUAUUUUGAACCGCAUGGUUCAAAAGUGAAAGACGGUCUUGCUGUCACUUAUAGAUGGAUCCGCGCUGCAUUAGCUAGUUGGUAAUGUAACGGCUUACCAAGGCAACGAUGCAUAGCCGACCUGAGAGGGUGAGCGGCCACACUGGAACUGAGACACGGUCCAGACUCCUACGGGAGGCAGCAGUAGGGAAUCUUCCGCAAUGGGCGAAAGCCUGACGGAGCAACGCCGCGUGAGUGAUGAAGGUCUUCGGAUCGUAAAACUCUGUUAUUAGGGAAGAACAUAUGUGUAAGUAACUGUGCACAUCUUGACGGUACCUAAUCAGAAAGCCACGGCUAACUAC
rnacentral:rRNA from 1 species